rnacentral:lncRNA from 1 species
UUAUUAUCUAAUUGAACAAUUUCCCUUUCCUCUUUGAUAUUGAUUAGCUCACCAAUCCAUAUAUAACAUAACUCUAUUCGCUUUUCUGAUUGAUUGAUAUAGAAAAUAAUAGAAUUAGGAAAUCCUCUAUUUACUAUUCACUGAAUAAUAACCUUUUUGUUGACAAAAGAAUAAAGACCAUUUCUAUUCCAAGGUGGGGAGUUUUAUUUUCCCCAUCGACCUAUUUGCAGAAUAAAAUGCAAAUAAAAUUCUAUAUUUGCAUGUCUAUAGAAGAACGUAUAUAAAAAUCUUUAGUGAAAGUUAAGAACUCAUUGAAAGUAAUUGAUUCUAUUUUGAAACCUUUUUGUUUUCUCGAACUUUCUCACUUUUAAUUUUCUCUGAAUUAUUAUACAGACCGCCAUGUAUAUCUUGCCCUUAACCCAAUAGAGAAAAUUGCUUAAUGAAAUUUUGUAUGACUAAUUGUGAAUUUUUAGCGAUGCAAAAUUGGUUCUUUUCUUUCUAUUUUGUCGUCAAAAUCCCUUUUUUGUUUUAUUUUAUAUUUAUGAAAAAAAAAAAAAAAAAAAGAAAUUGCUGCUUAAACAAUGAAAACAAAAACUUUUUGAACUCUAUUCCUUAAUUGAGUAUAGAACGGUUUAGUUACAAGAGUUGAAUUCGAGGAAAGCAGAAAAUAUAGGAAAGACUCAGGUUAAAUAAAAAAAACUAAGACUCUAAACUCAAAUCAAAAAUAAUGAACCUUCAACCUCAAAUUCCUAUUUGAAUAACUUUUUAUUGGUAUUGAUCCAUUUGAAUCAUUACUAAACUAAAAUAGCUUACUCAAUCUCGACGAUUGCUUAUUCAUAGGCUAUUAUGAGUUCAAGACAAGCCGCUAUGGUGAAAUCGGUAGACACGCUGCUCUUAGGAAGCAGUGCUAAUGCAUCUCGGUUCGAGUCCGAGUGGCGGCAUACCAUCUUCUAAAAAGGAUAAAUAGAUCUUAUAAUGAAUUCAAUUCCCGAUUUCCAUUUUAGAAUUAUGUAAUUAAGGGACUCUUCUUUUUUAAGAUUUUUUAUGAUAUUUUCAACCUUAGAGCAUAUAUUAACUCACAUUUCCUUUUCGAUCGUUUCAAUUGUAAUUACAAUUCAUUUGAUAACCUUUUUAGUCGAUGAAAUUGUAAAACUAUACGAUUCGUCAGAAAAGGGCAUAAUAGUUACUUUUUUCUGUAUAACAGGAUUAUUAGUUACUCGUUGGGUUUCUUCAGGACAUUUCCCACUAAGCGAUUUAUAUGAAUCAUUAAUUUUCCUUUCAUGGAGUUUCUCCCUUAUUCAUAUAAUUCCAUAUUUCAAAAAAAAUGUUUUAAUUUUAAGUAAAAUAACUGGACCAAGUGCUAUUUUGACCCAAGGCUUUGCUACUUCAGGUAUUUUAACUGAAAUACACCAAUCUGGAAUCUUAGUACCUGCUCUUCAAUCUGAGUGGUUAAUAAUGCACGUAAGUAUGAUGAUAUUGGGCUAUGCAGCCCUUUUAUGUGGAUCGUUAUUAUCAGUAGCACUUCUAGUGAUUACAUUUCGAAAAAACAGAAAGCUUUUUUCUAAGAGCAAUGUUUUUUUAAACGAGUCAUUUUUCUUGGGUGAAAAUGUUGUCGAAAAUACUUCGUUUUUUUGUGCUAAAAAUUAUUACAGGUCCCAAUUGAUUCAACAAUUGGAUUAUUGGAGUUAUCGGGUUAUUAGUUUAGGAUUUACUUUUUUAACCAUAGGAAUCCUUUCGGGAGCGGUAUGGGCUAAUGAAGCGUGGGGUUCCUAUUGGAAUUGGGAUCCAAAAGAAACUUGGGCAUUUAUUACUUGGAUCGUAUUUGCCAUUUAUUUACAUACUCGAACAAAUAGAAAUUUGCGGGGUCCAAAUUCUGCAAUUGUAGCGUCGAUAGGUUUUCUUAUAAUUUGGAUAUGCUAUUUUGGGGUCAAUCUAUUAGGAAUAGGGUUACAUAGUUAUGGUUCUUUUCCAUCAACAUUUAAUUGAAUUCAAGACAAGUUAUUACAAAUACAAGAGCGGGCGACGCAUUGUAUGAACCAGCAUGCGGACCGUGUGAAUCAAAUAUUGUAUUGAUGAUUCACACGGUUUUCUACCAUAUGUAGUUCAAUUUCAUUGUUUUUACUUAAUUCUUAAGUUAAAAGAGAAGAAAAAAAGAAGACUUUUUUUCAUUGUCCAAGAAUGUUUUUAAAAACAAACAUAGGUUUUUUUAUUUCAGUCAUCCAAUUAUCUAUAAAAAAAAUUAGAUAGAAUAACUUCGACCUUGUCAACUGCUAAUGAAAGAACGAAAUCGGGGUAUAUACCAAUACCUAUUACGGGUAAAAAGAUGGAGAUCGAAAGAAAUAACUCUCGCGGUCCAGAAUCAAAAAAAGAAUCCUUCGGGGCGUUAAAUAACUUGUAUCCAUAGAACAUCUGGCGUGGCAUAGAUAAUGAAUAAAUAGGAGUUAAUAUAAUUCCAAUUGCCAUUACAAAAGUAAUUAGUAGUUUUGGCAUUAAAAGAUAUUUUUGGCCGGUAAUUAUUCCAAAAAAUACUAUCAAUUCGGCAACAAAACCACUCAUACCUGGUAAUGCAAGGGAAGCCAUCGAAAAGCUACUGAACAUCGUGAACAUUUUUGGCAUUGGAAUAGCUAUUCCGCCCAUUUCGUCAAGAUAAACAAGGCGGAUUCUAUCAUAAGUCGUUCCCGCCAAGAAAAAAAGUGCAGCACCAAUAAAUCCAUGAGAGAUUAUUUGUAAAAGGGCUCCAUUUAGUCCCGUAUCGGUUAGAGAACUAAUUCCUAUAAUUAUGAAACCCAUAUGAGAGACAGAGGAAUAGGCUAUUCUUUUUUUUAAAUUCCGUUGGCCAAGAGAUGUUGAAGCUGCAUAGAUUAUUUGUAUUGUACCUAUUAUCAUCAACCAAGGAGAAAAUAUAGAAUGGGCAUGAGGUAAUAAUUCCAUAUUGAUUCGAAUUAAUCCAUACGCUCCCAUUUUUAAUAAGAUUCCGGCUAGAAGCAUACAAGUACUGUAAUGUGCUUCUCCAUGGGUAUCUGGUAACCAUGUGUGUAGGGGGAUAAUGGGCGAUUUGACAGCAAAAGCAAUAAAAAAUCCAAUAUAGAAGAUUAUUUCUAAAACCACAGGAUAUGACUGAUUAACUGAUGUUUCAAAAUUUAAUGUUGGUUCAUUAGAACCAUAUAAAGCAACACCCAAAACUCCCAUUAAGAGAAAAACGGAACCCCCCGCCGUGUACAAAAUAAAUUUUGUAGCUGAGUACAGACGUUUCUUUCCUCCCCACAUGGCUAGAAGUAGAUAAACAGGAAUUAAUUCUAACUCCCACAUGAUGAAAAAAAGUAAAAGGUCCCGAGACGAAAAUAAUCCAAUUUGACCACUGUACAUUGCUAACAUGAGAAAAUGGAAUAAUCUAGAAUCUCGAGUAACUGGCCAAGCCGCUAAAGUCGCUAAAGUAGUGAUAAAUCCUGUUAAUAAAAUGGGUCCUAUAGAAAGUCCAUCUAUUCCUAAUCUCCAAUGGAAAUCAAAAAAAUCGAUCCAUUUAUAAUCCUCUACUAGUUGGAUUAAUGGAUCAUCCGAUUGGAAAUGAUAACAAAAUGCAUAAGUUGUUAGAAGGAGUUCUAAAAUACAUAUACAUAUUGUAUACCACCUAAUUACCCUAUUUCCUUUAUGGGGAAGAAAGAAAAUUAAAGAACCCGCAAAUAUCGGAAAAACGACAAUUAUUGUUAACCAAGGAAAAUAAUUCGUAGUAAAGACAAGAUACACUUGGACCAAAAAAACCCGUGCUCAAAAUAUUUUUAUUUUCGAGCACAGGUUUGUCGGUAAAAAAAUUAAAUGGAUUCAAGUAGAGUUUUCUCGAACGUAUCAAUAAGCUAGACCCAUACUGCGAGUUGUUUCAUGCCAUAAAUAAACUCGGACACUCAAGAAAUCUGUUGGACAGGCGGAUUCACAUCUCUUACAACCAACACAGUCCUCUGUUCGUGGAGCAGAAGCAAUUUGUUUAGCCUUACAACCGUCCCAAGGUAUCAUUUCUAAUACAUCAGUGGGGCAGGCUCGGACACAUUGAGUACAUCCUAUACACGUAUCAUAAAUCUUUACUGAAUGUGACAUUGGGCCUAUACGUUUUUGAAUGUUCUAAAUUUUCGAUCUAGUAAACUUAGAAACGAAUCGUAUAUUUAGAUACCAGAUGAAUCAAUGAGUUAUCAUAAUUUUCUAAUCAACCCCUUUCUGGAUUGGUUUAUGAGAUAUGAGAGAGGCCAAAAUACUUUGAUUUCUUAUGUUUUGCAAACAAGAUCAUACUUUACGUAGUAAACAUGCUAAUUAAAAUAGAUUUCUCAAUAUUAGAAUCUAGAUGAUUAAUAUUAAUUAUUCAACAAAUUUGAUUGGUUGAUACGAGUUGAUUUUCUGUUACGGUAAAUUGAUGAAACAAUAGCCAGGCCAAUGGCUGCUUCAGCGGCUGCAAUAGCUAUAACAAAAAUUGAGAAAAUGUCUCCCUUUAAUUGACGAUUAUCAAAAAAAUCAGAAAAUGUUACAAAAUUGAUAUUAACUGCAUUCAAUAUAAGUUCAAGACACAUAAGGGCUCUAACCAUAUUUCGACUUGUGAUCAAUCCAUAGAUACCGAUGGAAAAUAAAUAGGCACUCAAAACAAGUACAUGUUCGAGAAUCAUUAAACAACUCCUUAUCAAUCCCGACUCCUUUCAAUAUGAACAACAAUUCAACUAACUUAAUUGACUAGUAUAUAACAAGUAUGGAACAAAGAAAUAUAUUGUUACUAGAUUGACCUAAAGUCUUUCUAUUUAUCCAGCUAGAAUUCAAAUAGAAUUGAAGGAAAAUUAAUGUGAUAAGACAGAACAAAAUUUUAUUUGAAUUCCAAGUUUUAAUAGAAAUUUUUUAUUGACGAGCUACAGCAAUUGCACCUAUUAAAGCAACUAAAAGGAUUAUGGAAAUAAGUUCAAAUGGGAGAAAAAAAUCUGUUGAUAAAUGAAUUCCAAUUUGUUGACUAUUACUUAGAAAAUCUUGCUCUAUAAUCUGGUUUGAUCUUGUAGUCCAAAUAAUCCCGUACCAUGACGUAUCUGAAAUAGUAGUAAUUAGUGAAAUAAAAAGACUUAUACAAACCAUCGAAGUAAUUCCAUCUCCUACGGUCCAAAGAUGAAAAUCCUUGUAAUAUUCUGAGCCAUUCAUGAACAUCACAGCAAAAAUGAUUAAAACAUUUAUAGCUCCUACGUAAAUAAGUAGCUGCGCAGCAGCUACAAAAUAGGCGUUAGAUAGAAUAUAGAAUAACGAUGUACAAACAAGAACCAAUCCCAAGGAAAAGGCCGAAUAAAUUGGAUUGGGAAGUAAUACCACUCCUAGACCCCCUAAUAUAAGACCCGAUCCUAGAAAGACUAAAAGAAAAUCAUGUAUUGGUUCAGAUAAAUCCAUUUUUUAUAAAAAAUCAAAAACGAAGAAUUUCAUGACUUUAUUGACCUGACCAGGAAAAAAGCAGUUUUUCUAUUUUUUAUGAUACUUUGAAAUUGUUAAUUGAAUGAAAGUCUAAUGGGUAUGAAUUGACGUAGAUGCUUUUAUUUUAUUGGACCACUAUCCAUUCUUUAUUCGUCGAAAGAGGAGUUUAAACCUAUCUAUUUUUGAUAUCAUUUAUCUACUUUGAAACCAUUACUAUUAUAAUAUAUAAUAUUGAACUCGGUUUUGUUUUCAAUCUAAAUUAAGCUUAAGCUAGGAGUCUCAUUAAGAAACCACUAGUUUGAAUUGCCCAAGCAAAAAUCUCAUUGUUUUAGAUCCGAACUAAGCCUUCGUAAUUUGUAAUUUUUUUGAAUCAAAUUAAGGGUUUAUUCAUUGUUUAUUUGAGGUAAAUUCGAAAUUGUUCGAAUUGUGUAAUCAUCAAUUACUGACAUUGGUAAGCGACCCAAAGCGAUUUGAUUAUAAUUCAAUUCGUGACGAUCAUAAGUAGAAAGUUCAUAUUCUUCGGUCAUUGAUAAACAAUUUGUUGGGCAAUACUCAACGCAAUUACCACAAAAUAUACAGAUUCCAAAAUCAAUACUGUAAUUAAGCAAUCGUUUCUUUCGAAUAUCAGUUUCCAACUUCCAAUCAACAACGGGUAAAUCUAUAGGACAUACACGCACACAUACUUCACAAGCAAUGCAUUUAUCAAAUUCAAAGUGUAUUCGGCCUCGGAAACGUUCCGAUGUGAUCAAUUUUUCGUAGGGGUAUUGAAUAGUUACAGGUAAACGAUUUGCGUGGGACAGGGUAAUCAUGAAACCUUGGCCGAUAUAUCUGGCGGCUCGUAUUGUUUGUUGACCAUAAUUUAUGAAUUCAGUUAUCAUAGGGAGCAUAUGUUGAAUAUCUAUAAAAAAGAUUUUAUGCUUGUUUCUUUCUCUUGUUUGAGACAAGUCGUGAAUCUAGGAUAUUGUGGUCUUUUACAGUGAAAGAAGUUGGGACGAGGUUGUCAAUAAUAGAUUACCUAGAGAAAUCGGUAAAAGAAAUUUCCACCCAAGAUUUAAUAGUUGGUCCAUUCUCAGCCUCGGUAAAGUCCAUCUUGUUGCAAUGGGAAUGAACAAAAACAAAUAAGUUUUGGCUAAUGUGAUAAAGAUACCAAUUAGUGUUCCAAAGACUUUACCUCCUUUAUUUAUGCCAAAUAUAUCAGGAACAAAUAUGUACGGAAUAGAAAGAUUCCAACCUCCCAAGUAAAGAACUGUUACAAAUAAUGAAGAAACUAGUAGAUUCAGAUAUGAAGCAAUGUAAAAUAAACCAAAUUUGAUACCAGAAUAUUCGGUUUGAUACCCUGCUACUAAUUCUUCUUCUGCUUCUGGUAAAUCAAAAGGUAAUCUUUCACACUCGGCGAGAGAAGAAAUUAGAAAAACGAUAAACCCGAUGGGUUGACGCCACAAAUUCCACCCCCAAAAACCAUAUUUUGACUGCGCUUCCACUAUAUCAACUGUACUUAAACUGUUAGAUAAUCAUAGUCGAUGAUAACAUCACUGUGCCCAUCGCUAUUACAGAACCGUACGUGAGAUUUUCACCUCAUACGGCUCCUCAGAGGUCACAACUAAAUCUAAGGGCCCUUUCCUAUUCUUUAUCUUGAUAUGUUUGUCAGAUAGAGUCAAAAUCUAUUCUAAGGUCCCAAAUUAGACCAAUGGAAUUCUGUCUGCUAUAUUUAAAACUAAUAAAUAAGUGCUUCUGAAUUUAUCUCAUCUUUUAAGAAUUUUAAUUUUUCUUUGUUGAUUAAUAACCUUAUCAUUAAAUAAAAAAAUGUGCUUUAUAGCAAUAUCACAUAUACAUUUCAACCUCGAAUUUUCAAUUACGAAAAAAAUUAGAGAGUACAUUAGUUCAUGAAUCAUGACAAAAAUUUUAUCUCUCUAAAUAGAAAUAAAAAUUGAAUUAUAGGAAAGAAAGAAUAAAAACAAAAAAAGACAUCCCUCCUUUUUCCUUUUGCAAUUAGCUUCUUUUCUUUCUAUUUCGAUUUUUUUAUUUCAUUCCUAUUCUCCUUUCUCAGAAAAAGGGUCUUUAACCAAAGUAAAAGAUUACUUCGUUCUUGAUAGUUAGUUACUUACUCAGUGGAUAGGAACAUACUCUGGAUCAGAAUCAUGGGGAGUACUUCUUGAUCAUUUCUACGAACGUAAAGCCCCAAUUUGAAUUCCUUUUAUGUACAGAAAUAUCCUCUUGGAUAACUUACAUAAUCUCAAUUACUAAUCCUUUGUGUAUCUUAGUCUUCCUAACCAUCCACUCAUUUUUUGUUUCAAAAACCUCCCGUUGUGGAAAUCCAUCUAUGGUAAUAGACAGUAAAAACUCCAUAGAGUUGGUCUUUUGAACCCGCUUCAAGCUAUCAUGACAAUUCACGAAUCUUGGGGUAAACAAUCUCUCUUGCUUAUGUUUACUUUUUUCACCAUUUGAUUCUUGUACAUAGGAAAUGAGACUCAACUUUUUUACUGCAAAUUUAGAAGCCGUUUUCUUUCACUCAUAUAACUAUCUGAUUUAGUUCAUCAACUCAAAUGCUGAAGAAAAAAAAUAUAUAUAAUCAAUCAAAUCUUUUUAUCCUUGUUUCUAGAAAGAAAAGAAUUUGGAUAAAUUUUAGGUCUCACCGAAUCACACGUAGAGAUAUUGAUAACACACAUAGAGCUAAUGGUAUUUCAUAACUAAUUGAUUGAGCAGCUGCCCGUAGACCACCUAAAAAGGAAUAUUUAUUAUUUGAUCCAUACCCCGACAUAAGAAGUCCAACGGGAGCAAUACUUGAAAUGGCAAUCCAAAAAAAAACACCAAUACUAAGAUCGGCUAGAACAAGGUGAUCACCAAAAGGAAUUACUGAAUAACUUAGAAAGAUAGAUAUUACUGCUAUGGAUGGUCCGAUACUGAAUAAACGAGUAUCUCCUGUAGAUGGAAUAAGGUUCUCUUUCAAAAGUAGUUUUGUCCCAUCUGCUAGAGCUUGAAGAAUUCCUAACGGGCCGGCAUAUUCAGGCCCAAUACGUUGUUGUAUUCCUGCAGAUAUUUCUCUUUCUAACCAAACAAUUACUAGUACACCUAUUGUGAUUCCUAAUACAAGAGUCACAAUAGGGACAAGCAUCCAUAUGAUCCCAUAGACUUCUUUUAAGGAUUCCAAUUUGGAAAAAGAAUUGAUAGUCUCUAUUUCUGUUGUAUCAAUUAUCAUUUCAACGAUCAACUUCUCCCAUAAUGAUAUCUAUGCUACCUAGUAUUGUCAUAAUAUCAGCCAAUUUCAUUCUUUUAACUAACUGAGGAAGAAUUUGCAAAUUGAUAAAACCUGGUGGGCGAAUUUUCCAUCUCCAAGGAAAAACGCUCUGAUCUCCUAUCAGAAAAAUCCCCAAUUCUCCUUUUGGGGCUUCAACUCUCACAUAAAGUUCUUGUUUCGACAAUUCAAAAGUUGGAGAAGGCUUUUUACUAAUAAACCGAUAUUCAAAAUCAUUCCAUUCAGGAUCUUUUAAUCUGUCAAAACGUCGCAUUUCUAAAUUUUCGUAAGGCCCCCCUGGAAUUCCUUCCAGAGCCUGUUGAAUAAUCUUUAUGGAUUCUGUCAUUUCACCGAUUCGUACUAAAUAACGAGCUAAUGAAUCCCCUUCUCGUUGCCAUUGAACCUGCCAAUCAAAUUCGUCGUAAGACUCAUAAUGAUCAACUUUACGAAGAUCCCAUUCUAUUCCGGAAGCUCGUAGCAUUGGUCCCGAUAAACCCCAAUUUAAUGCCUCGUCUCUCCCAAUAAUGCCUACGCCUUCAACUCGUUCUAAAAAAAUAGGAUUCCGAGUAAUAAGUUUUUGAUACUCAGCAACCCCUGUUAAAAAAUAAUCGCAAAAAUCCAAACAUUUAUCUAUCCAGCCAUAGGGUAGAUCGGCAGCCACUCCUCCAAUCCUAAAAUAAUUAUGCAUCAUUCGCAUACCGGUGGCAGCUUCGAAUAGGUCAUAUAUCAAUUCUCUUUCUCUAAAAAUAUAGAAGAAAGGGGUCUGUGCACCAAUAUCCGCCAUAAAAGGACCGAGCCAUAACAAAUGAGAAGCUAUCCGACUCAACUCCAACAUAAUGACUCUGAUAUAGCUAGCCCUUUUAGGUACUUGAAUAUUGCCUAAUUGUUCGGGUCCAUUUAUGGUUAUUGCUUCUGUGAACAUAGUAGCUAAAUAAUCCCAACGUGUUACAUAAGGCAAAUAUUGUAUAAUUGUUCGGUUUUCCGCAAUUUUCUCCAUCCCUCUAUGUAAAUAACCCAAUAUUGGUUCGCAGUCGACAACAUCUUCACCAUCUAGAGUAACGAUGAGUCGAAGAACACCGUGCAUUGAUGGGUGCUGAGGCCCCAUAUUGACUAUCAUGAGGUCUUUUCUUGUAGUUGGUGCAGUCAUAAGUUUUUUAACGAUUCAUUCUUCCAUGAAUUACUGAAAGUGAAAAGAAGUUCAUCAAAAUUUAAUCGAAACAUAUAAGUGAAAAUGAAAUAACUCUUCAAAUUAAUCAAAUUAACGAGUUUUUGUCUCUCGAAUGUCCAACCGAUUAAUUAAUUCUUUAUAACGUACUCUAUUUUUUUUUGCCAAAUAAGCUAGCAGUCGUUGACGUUUUCCCAAAAUUUUCUUCAAACCUCUCUGAGAUAAAUAGUCUUUUUUGUGCAAUUCUAAAUGUGAAGUAAGUCUUCGUAUCUUAUUGGUGAAAUUGAAUACUUGAAAUUCAACAGAUCCUUUCUUUUCUUCUUGAGAAAUAACUGAAAUGACAGAAUUUUUUACCAUAAAUGAAUUUCCCCUUUCUUUAUUUUACAGAUAUGGAUUUUUUCGAAUUUUAUUGAUCAGUAAUAAUAAUGCCAGUAAUUUAAACGUGGUAUAUAGACUUAAUUUCUUUAUGAACCUCUAAUUUUAGCAAUUCCAAUAAAUUAAUCAAAUUUCAAAUUUGAUUCAGAUAGGAAUCCAAAAAGACGGUAGGUACGUUUUUUUUAAUCACAAAAGCGAAUAAUUGAAACCUAAAAUCCUAAAAUGAAGAAGAUUCUGUUGAUUCAUUUCUAGAUCUAAUCAAUACCUUAUUUUAUUGAUUUAGUAUUGUCUACUCGAAUUAGAUUCGAAUGAGAUGUAAAACAAGGCAUGUUUGCAUUUAUUUGCUUUCAGAUACUCUAUACGAGACAGGGUAUAUAGUACUAUCAAUUAAUUUUCAAUCGUGGAUACAUAUGUAUCCUUAAGAUACUGAAACGGCUACCAUUAUUGGUAUCAAACCAAUAACGAUUCAUACAAGCUAAAUCUUCUAAUCGAUAAUUAGGCCAAAAAAAGAACUUAAAUUUAAUUAAUUCAUUUUUAUCUUUAUAAAGGGGUUUCCGUUCACCCAAAAAUUGACUCCAGUUUUUUACAUUGGUUUCGUUGCAAAAUACUGAAUUUCUAUCGACGACAUUCCAAUUCCAAGAAUUAAAAAAACUUCGAAUUCUCAACUCUCUACGACGUCUAGACCAUAAAAUAUUUUCAGGAACAAGCAAACCAAAAUGAGUUUUUUCUGUAUUUAUUCUUUGAGUUUGAGGUUGCAGAAUGAAUUCGUCAAAAUUCUUUUUAUCAACAUAUCUUUGUUCUCGGUAUCUUUGAUUAGUUUGGUGUUUACUUUUAUGAACCAAUGAAAUACCUAUGGUUUGAUACAUAAUAAAUUGUCCAUUAUCUUUUACAGACAACCGAAUAGGUUCGAUAAUCAAUACCCCCUUCUUCAUCAAGUCUGUAAGAGGUAAAUUUGCCUGAAUCAGCAUUAUAUCCAAACUCAUUUCUCUCCUUUGAAUUGACGAUAUAGUAAUUUUGGUUGGAUUUAUCAGUCGAAGCAGGAGACAAUAUACCUUGAUAUUUUCGAACAUUCUUUGAUUCAAAGCACCGUUCCAUCUCAAUUGAAAAAGCAAAUAACGUUUCAAGAACAAAUCUAGUUCUGCUUCCGUGUUGCUUUUGUAUUGUUUUUUAUUUUUACCCUUUUUUGUGUCUGAUUCCACGUAAUCUUUUUCAAGAUCGGUUUGAUGUUUUGAAAAAACAGGGCUCAGAUUUCCUUUGUUUUCUAUAUCUGAUCCACGCUCUCUUUGACUUGGGGGUUCUUUUGCUUCUUGACUUCGAUUCUUUAUUUUUAUUUUUUUAUUUGAUGGUAGAAAAAAGUUUUGGUUUUUAUUUUGACUAACAUUUUUAUUUGUAUUCAAAUUAAAAAGAAGGAAUUUGCUUGGUAUAAUCCACGGUUUUAUUUUAUAGACAUUAUAAAGUAGUACAAAUUCUGGGAAGAACCAAAAUUCCAGAUUCAAUAUGGGACGAUUAAAUAUUUUUUCAUUCAUUCCCAUCCAAUCAAAAAAGACUUUUUUCGAAUUUUUUUGAGUUUUUUCUGGAUGUUGAUGAGUUGUAAGAUAAAAAACCCCCUUUUUCUCAAUUUUAUCAAUUAUUUGAUAAUUAUUAAUACCAAUUUUAGUAUUUGGAUUACUGUUGGUAUCGAUCUUAACCCAGGCUUCAAUAUCUCCUUUUUGUCUAAGAGAAAAAUGGAUAAUUUUCCAAUCAAAAUAUUUUCUAUCGAGAUUUCUUUCUCUAUCUAGAAUAUUGCCCUUUCUUAGAUAAUUAUUGAUAUGAAGAUUGCCGGGCAUAUCAACAAAGUUGUGUUUGGACGUGUUGGAAUUAUACGAAAUUUCUAAGUUCUUCUUUACUUGAACUUCAAAGGGUAAUCUAGAAAAAAAUGAGUCACUUUUAUUUUCAUAAUUAAUCGAUUUAUAUGCUAAAAGACCAUAUCCAUAACAUUUUUUAAAAUUAUCUUUUUCGUUUGAUAAUGAAUAGAGUUCCGAAUCAUUUUCUUUUUUGUAAUGAAGUAAUUGGUCUUUUUCAUAUGAAUUCCAUUUGUUUAAGUUUCUAUUUUUAUUUUGAGCCAUACAACUUUGAUUAACCCUAGUUCGCCAUUUUUUUGGCAUUAAUCUAGACCAUCUAAUCUGAGAUAAAUCGUAUUGAUAAUGCCAUCUUAACCAGUUUUUCCAUUGAUUUAUUCUAUAACUCUGAAGUUUCUUAUCUUUUAAUUCCGAAUGAAAUAUUCCUAGUGUUUUAAAAUAGUCCUUUAUUUUAGUCUUAAGGAAACAA